rnacentral:rRNA from 1 species
UACGUAGGGGGCUAGCGUUAUCCGGAAUUACUGGGCGUAAAGGGUGCGUAGGUGGUUUCUUAAGUCAGAGGUGAGAGGCUACGGCUCAACCGUAGUAAGCCUUUGAAACUGGGAAACUUGAGUGCAGGAGAGGAGAGUGGAAUUCCUAGCGUAGCGGUGAAAUGCACAGAUAUGUCGUGGAAUACCGAUUGCGAAGGCAGCUAACUGGGUCUUGAUUGACGCUGAGGCACGAAAGCGUGGGGAGCGAACAGGAUUAGAUACCCUGGUAGU